GACGAACGCUGGCGGCGUGCCUAAUACAUGCAAGUAGAACGCAGUUGCGCACGGGUGAGUAACGCGUAGGUAACUGUCUCAUAGCGGGGGAUAACUAUUGGAAACGAUAGUUCAUACCGCAUAUUGUAAGAUGGACCUGCGUUGUAUUAGGUAGUUGGUGGGGUAAAGGCUCACCAAGGCGACGAUACAUAGCCGACCUGAGAGGGGGAUCGGCCACAUUGGGACUGAGACACGGCCCAGACUCCUACGGGAGGCAGCAGUGGGGAAUCUUCGGCAAUGGACGGAAGUCUGACCGAGCAACGCCGCGUGAGUGAUGAAGGUUUUCGGGUCGUAAAGCUCUGUUGUUAGGGAAGCGGUAACGAACCAGAAAGCGACGGCUAACUACGUGCCAGCAGCCGCGGUAAUAC
rnacentral:rRNA from 1 species